CGAGGAUAUUUUUACGAAUUUAUAGUAUAUCGGGUGUGCUGAUUUCAGAAAUGAUAUUAGUUUUCCACGAUUGGCUCUAGUUCUUGAGAUACAGGGUGUUCCAGAUAUAUUCUUAUACAAAUAUCUUCGUUCAUGCAUAUUUUACAAACACAAUGAGUUCUUCACGAAGAGGAUGUUUGAAUAACCCCAAUGCAUUCUGCCACAUCUGUGGUGAAUAUUGCCAGGAGAGCCAAAGAAGAAAUAUUACUAACUUUGUGAAGCAAGCAUAUCUGGCAUACUUUGGAAUGAAACUCGGAGACCAAGAUAAGUCUUGGGCUCCCCAUAUUGUAUGUAAAACGUGUGUCGAAAAUCUACGUCAGUGGAAAAAUGGACAAA